rnacentral:rRNA from 1 species
AGAGUUUGAUCCUGGCUCAGAACGAACGCUGGCGGCGUGCUUAACACAUGCAAGUCGCGUGCGCAGUUUCCGUAGCAAUACGGAGAUGGGCGCACGGCGCACGGGUGCGUAACACGUGGGCAAUCUGCCCUUUGAUGGGGAAUAACCCGCCGAAAGGCGGGCUAAUUCCGCAUAAGAUUCCCGGAACUUCGGUUCUGGGAUUGAAAGCAGCAAUGCGUCGAAGGAGGAGCCCGCGCCCGAUUAGCUAGUUGGUGAGGUAACGGCUCACCAAGGCUAUGAUCGGUAGCUGGUCUGAGAGGAUGAUCAGCCACACUGGAACUGAGACACGGUCCAGACUCCUACGGGAGGCAGCAGUGGGGAAUCUUGCACAAUGGGCGAAAGCCUGAUGCAGCGACGCCGCGUGGGGGAUGAAGCAUUUCGGUGUGUAAACCCCUUUCGACUGGGACGAAUGCCUCGCAAGAGGAGUGACGGUACCAGUAGAAGAAGCCCCGGCUAACUACGUGCCAGCAGCCGCGGUAAGACGUAGGGGGCCAGCGUUGUUCGGAAUUACUGGGUGUAAAGGGUUCGUAGGCGGUGCGGCAAGUUGGGAGUGAAAUCUCUGGGCUCAACCCAGAGGCUGCUUCCAAAACUGCUGUGCUCGAGUGUGAGAGAGGCGCGUGGAAUUGCAGGUGUAGCGGUGAAAUGCGUAGAUAUCUGCAGGAACACCCGUGGCGAAAGCGGCGCGCUGGAUCACUACUGACGCUGAGGAACGAAAGCUAGGGGAGCAAACAGGAUUAGAUACCCUAGUAGUCC